GGCAUAGCUCAGUGGCAGAGCACCUACUUUGCAUGUAGAAGACUCCAGGUUCAAUCCAGGUGGAGUUG